UACGGGGGGGGCAAGCGUUGUUCGGAAUUACUGGGCGUAAAGCGUGCGCAGGCGGUUUUGUAAGUUUGUCGUGAAAGCCCCGGGCUCAACCUGGGAAUUGCGAUGAAGACUGCAAGGCUUGAAUCUGGCAGAGGGGGGUAGAAUUCCACGUGUAGCAGGUGAAAUGCGUAGAGAUGUGGAGGAACACCGAUGGCGAAGGCAGCCCCCUGGGUCAAGAUUGACGCUCAUGCACGAAGCGUGGG
rnacentral:rRNA from 1 species